rnacentral:lncRNA from 1 species
AUUACUUUGUGAAUUGCUGGCAAUAUAUCUCAGUGUAGAGCACUUGACUAUCAUGCAUGAGAUGCUGAGUUUGAUCCUCAUAAAUGCAAAAAAUAAAAAGAAGAAAUUAACUUUUAAGUCAGGCACAGUGAUGUGUACCUGUAAUCCAGACUACUAGGUGGUGGAGAUGAGGCAGAAGGUCACUUGAGUUCAGGAUUUUGAAGCCAGCCUGAGUAACACAGCAAGGUUCUAUCUCCAAAUAAUAACAACAACAACAAUUGAUAAUGGCAGCACUGUAAUCCCAGCUACUUAAGAGAUUGAGGCAGGAGCAUUACAAGUUCAAGGGUAGCAUCAGCAACUGGCCUCAAAUAGAAACCCUGUCUCAAAAUAAAAAGGGCUGAGGGUGUAGCUCAGUGGUAGAGCUCCCCUCAGUUAAAUUCCUAGUAUAACACACACACACACACACAUACAAAAGAAUAAGGUGGACAUCUUGUCUAACUCAAGAGACAUUUUAAUAGGGUCCCUAGGAUAACCCUCCCCAUCUUGCCUCUGAUUUAAGAAGAUGCAUAGAGCAAAAGACACAAGAUCCACAGAUAGACAAAGAGACAAACAGAACCCUAGAGCCUUUCUCUCCUUGCUAUUUGCUGCAAAGUGCUAUUUCCAUUUGGGUUGGUGGCAUCCAGAGUAAUAGUCCAUAGGAAGAGUCUCAGUGGGUGACCAGGAAAGGGAAAGAAGAGACAGCCACAGAACCUGGCCUCAGGGAGAGAGGGAGACCACAGGAAGUUCAAUCCUGAAGUGAACCUUACUCCCUUGAUAUCUGCAGGACAUUCUAGAAUCUCCAGUAUGGAAACCAGUGGUUUAAAUUCUGAGAAAGAGAUGAUGGAUGAAGCUGAAGGUGUUCAGAGACCAGACCUGCAUCCUACAUCUUGUCCAGGGGAUCUUUACCUGGGGUAGACCUCUCAGAUAGUCAAGUCUCCAGCCAGUUGGUUCUUUCGGGGUACUCUGCCAUGGCUGGUCUCUGUUACUGGCCGUGUAUUUCCUAGACACCAUCUGAGGCCUGGCUGGAGGAAGGAGUUAGAUGCUUCUCAGGCAGAUAAAGUUUCAUAUAUAAGUCAGCUCCUUGGUCCUACAACAAAAUAAUCAAGGCAACUUUAUGAAGAGAAAAGGUUUAUUUAGCUCAUACUGACAUGACUCCUGGUGCCAAGCCUUAAAGCCAACCCACUCAUCCCUGUGAAGAAGCAGUAGCAGAGCAGUGUAGUGGAGAAGCAGUGCCAUAUUGACAAUGUGGGUGGGCUAAAGCACACUGUAGUCCAGCUGCACCAUGGACUGCCUGCUGCUGCCCUUUGCUGGUGUCCUGGAUGCUGUGCAUCCACAUGGCUACAGUUGUUUAAAGUCCACCAUGCCAUGCGAAAAGAAUUCAAAAAGAAGAUAUUGGUGGUAAGCUGCUAGGGUCUACUGCAACACAUUAAGAACUACAACAUCAUUUCUCGGCUGCAGAGGUCUGCAGCCUAGGCAAACUCUACCCACCAGCAGAAAUGGAGAAACUCUGGUUUCAAUAGUUUUAGAGGUUCAAAGUCCAAGAUUCAUUGGAGGUUGGGAACACUUGGCCUCUGGUAAGGGAAAUAGAUGGUAACACGUUAUAGAGGGAGCACAUAUUAAAUCAAUCAGUCACAUUUCAAACAAAGGUGGAGAGAAAGACCUGAAACCCAUAAUCUCCCAAAGCCUAUCAUCAAUGAUUUAAGGACCCCUGAGUAGGCUCCCCACUUUUGGAGGUCUUAGUGGCACCUCCUAGUGCUGUCAUCUUAAAUCUUUAUAUACAGAUUUUGGGGGAACAUUCAACAUCUGUUUUAGUCAGAUUUUUAGCUUCUGUGACCAAAACACAGAAGAGGAGGAAUUAGAGGAGGAAAAGCUUAUUUGGGGGUUCAUGGUUUUGGAGGUUUCAGCCCAUGGACAGCUGCCUCCAUUCUUUGGUGCCCCAAGUGAGGCAGAACAUCUUGGCAGAAGACUAUGGUGGAGGAAAAUGGCACCAGGAAGCGGUGUGAGAGAGAUGGGGGGCAGGGCCUCUGCUUAACAAGGACAAACUAUAUACCCUAAAGGCAUGCCCCCAGGAAUCCACCUCCUCUAGCCACACCCUACCUGCCUACAGUUACCAUCCAGUUAUUCCUAUCAAGGGAAUAAAGCACUUACUAGUAUUUAAAACUCUUCUAAUCUAAAUUUCCUUGCAUUGUCUCAAAUCUAAAUCAUAACAAAAUGCAAACCAUAGCACUUCUGCUUAGAGAGCCUCGCGUGAAUCAUUCAAGCACUGGCCCUCUCCCUGAGCUUCACCUAGGGCCCUAUUCAAUUUCCUUCCUUGGUGCUCAAUCUCUGGAAGGUGCUGACCUGUAUUUUCUUCCAUCCUAGCACCAAUCAGAUAGGACCCCUUGCUAAGGUUUGAAUAUGUUUUAUCCCCCAAGGUUUCCUAUACUUGGUCCUCAGUGUGAUGAAAUUGAAGGAUGGUAGAAACUUUAAAGAGGUGGGGCCUAAUGGAAAGUGUUUAGGGAAUGGGGCAUUACUCUCAGAAUGGAUUAGUGACCUCUCUGAAGGAAGAGAUUCUGGUCUCAUGGAAUUUAAUUAGUUCUUUUUUAAAAAAUAUUUUAUUAGUUGUUGGUAGACCUUUAUUUAUUAUGUGGUGCUGUGGAUCGAACCCAGUGCCUCACACAUCCUAGGCAAGGCAAGC